UUUGCUAGAAGUAAUAAGAAACAUAAAUGGUAAAGUAAAAAUAACAGUACCAAAGAAAUUACAGAUUCAAGAAGAGUAGAGGGCACAGAUAGAUACGUCAGUGGCUCCAAGAGAGCGUUUCGAGAGAUACGUUCCAACGGUGGGUCAGCAUCGACAAGGCUGUGUAUAGGUCCUUAUAUGGUAGCCAGUCGUAUGGCUGUAUAUAGAAAGAGCUUGAAAGAGGCUGAAUACGCAACUGUGGAGCACGUUGGUGUCCUUUACGUAUCCGCUUGUUGAAUUUUUCUUUUCUCCCUAUCCUUACUACACGUGUAAGAAUCUUGUAUCGAGUGCACGCAUGCUAAAACACCCGUUGGUUAUGCGUUGUAUGUAACGGUCACAAAACGAAGAGAUUACUUUAGUUACACAAUUAGCAUAUUUGAAAAUACUUAAUACAAAAGAAUGAAUUUUUUGAGGUUAAUUUCGAUCUUGGAAAUUUUAUUUAACUUUGUAAUAUUGGAGAAACUGAUACACGAUAAAGGAAAUCUCGCUAAGCUCUCAAAAUUAACAGAGCUUCUAUCCGCAUACUUUAAACCGCAUAAUUUCGAACGUAUUACAGCGUUAAGUCGGUCGAUUUCACGAAAGUCGAGAAAAAGCAACGAUGAUUCUCGAUAGCUCUCGAAGAUGUAUCUCAUUGGAUUAUCAUGGUAUAAUGAGGAGAAGGACUAAAAACGGUCUCAGUACGCCAGUGUCCGAAGAGAAAUCACGAUAAAUUCUACUUGAUCUCGCGAGGAGAAAAGAGGUCUGCAAGUUAAUAAGGAAACUAGGUUGCUCGCACCGACGCGCUAGCCGGUUUGCAAGACGCGUCGGUGUACGCUACGUUUCGACGAGCCAUACUCAUCUCGGAAUUUAACACAUCAUACGAGCUAAGAAAAUAACAUAGGCUGUAGAAGCAACGAGUGCAUGAUUCAGAACUUCCACGUAAGACUGCCAAACGAACGGUCGUGUGUCUGGAACCGAUCGUCUGUAAGCGCAUCCGGUGGAAUCGAUAAGAUCGGUUAAUCGUCCAAGAGUUUCUGGCUGGACAUUGUCGUGGGUUUCAGAAGUGAUUAAGAUUUCGUGAACGAAUACCAAAGUAUACGACGUAAAUGGAUGGGGAACCCUGAAAGAGAACCCUUUGACCUAAUCUCGUAGAUUGCAGACUGCUUUCGUCAUUACGCUUUUGCACAAGCAACAUCCUGGUUAUGGUACUUGACGAAUAAGGGAUGGAUACAAUCAUACCCAGAAAUGUAUUAGAUAUGAAAGAUUAUGUCCUACUUUGAAGUCGACCUUGAAGAUGCUCGAUGAAGUCUUAGGAUAUUCUCUUCCGGAACAUGAAUGAAAUAGCGGUGCGCGCGUGCCCCUCGCGCCUGCCGUAUGUGUACGUGUCGGUUUUGUACAUACAGGGUUGCAUCGGGGGAGCGGUCGGCUGGUGGCAGACGGUUUCAUCGAUUGGCAAUGCGGGGGUCGAAGAGUGGGGUUUCUGAACUCUCCACGGCUAUCUAUAUGUACUACAUAACGUAUCGACGACCUCGGCUUUCAUGGUCAAUGGUAAAAAGGUGAUUUUUUAAUACAUCGCGUGGGACUCAUCUUGUACUUUGUUCUUCUUUCACUGACAUCAAGCUAACUCGUUCGAGACAUGAUAAGAUGCAAAUACUAUUGGAUUCUCCCUUAUGAAGAUAGCAUGCAUGAAAAUGUAUACAUUUAAUUAAAGAAGAAUGUGAUUCCUAUUGCACUGUAAUGAGUCUAUCAACGCAACUACACAUACAUGUUUUGUAAAAAUAGAAAUUAGCUUAUGCCGAAACGUAAUAAAUGUUCAUGAUCAUAAGAGACAGAAGCGCGUUCACUAGUCGGCAACCAGAAACGCAUUUGCGUGCCUGAUGCGCAGCGGAGUGCAUCUGUCAAAACCACGCCCUUGUCCCAUCCUGUCGUCCUAACGUAGGGAUAUAGAAGCUCAACGAUAAAAAGAGUAAUUUUAAACAGAAUACUACGACGAAACAUUUCAAACGUCUACUCGAAAAAGAGAAAAAUAAUGGAAAACCUACUGGUUUGUAUCGUCGAUUGGGAUUCAUGCGUGCACUGAACGCGUAUGGUGAUUUGACCACACCCCUCCAUUUUCGAUCGCAAAAUAAUGAAGACGAUCGAUAUUCCUAAAAAUACAUAUAUUAUCAAGCCUUUCGACAACUUACACUCCGAAAACAGGAAGGACAAGUGACUCGCGGAUACCGAUCGCCUUCGAGCAGUUUUCACCUUGUUAAAAAGCAUGUAUACACACACAAUCAUAAUGUCGCCUUCUUUUUGAAUAAUAAAGAAAGCCGGUUUGCUUUGAUAUGUCGACGAAAUAACACCGUAUGUUUUCACUCGAAAGCGCAUGCAAUUUUAAUAACCAUAGAUAGAAUGUAUCGGCG